GGGGCCGAAAGGAUUUCGACGGGGAUUUUGAACCGUGAUAAGCGAGUAGAGCUGCGGGAGCUCUUUAAACCUCCGCAAGUUUAGAAAUAAACGACAACAAUACAGAACUUCUCGCUGCUUAAUUAGCAGCCGUCCCUGCCGGAAGCACCGCGGUCCGGUAAGGGGCGUCAUUCAGCGGUGAACGUGAACGGUUGAGAGCCCUGUAAACCGUCAUGACUUAAAGGGCUACCGAUGCGCGAAGCCUGCCGUCCGGCGUCGCGAAGGGGGAAUCCCAAAAGAACGGAUACACUCGUAGAAAGUUGCGGGAAUGGGUUUUCGGACGCGGUUUCGAUUACCGCCGGCUCCACCA
rnacentral:tmRNA from 1 species